UACGUAGGGGGCAAGCGUUGUCCGGAAUCAUUGGGCGUAAAGCGCGUGUAGGCGGACUGGAAGGUCUGGUGUGAAAGCCCGGGGCUCAACCCCGGAGGGUCACUGGAAACCGACAGUCUUGAGUCCGGAAGAGGAGAGUGGAAUUCCUGGUGUAGCGGUGGAAUGCGCAGAUAUCAGGAGGAACACCUAUGGCGAAGGCAGCUCUCUGGUACGUGACUGACGCUGAGACGCGAAAGCGUGGGGAGCGAACAGGG
rnacentral:rRNA from 1 species